AGCAGCCUGCCCGCUCCUCGUUGGUCGGCGCAGCAUGUGUUUGUCCACCUUUAAUCAGCGUGCAGGCAGGAGAAGGGCUGCCCACCCCUGUCCGUGGGUUGGUGCUGCCCCUUGGGGAGCGGUUUGCUCCCUCUCCUGUCAGUAGGGCUGUGCGGAACAGUCCAACCAGCCCUGCAUCCCAGCCCUGCAUCUGAUUGUUUGGGAAGUCUGCGAGGCUGCCGGCUGUAAGGAUAAAGUUCUCUAAAAGGCGUCGUUGCAUGAAGACUGAGAGUGCACCCAAGAACCACAGUUACAACCAGUCAUUGGUUGUUUUCCUGUUCGAGUGCCAUAAAACAUUCACGAGGAAUGGAGGAAGAUAAAGGGCAGAGUGCUAAAGCCACCAGCGCGGUGGGUGACUUGAGGAAGAGUUGGCAGACCUGGGCAGAGGAUCACAUUGAAUAUCAGAGAAAGAACCCGUUCAGCAGUGAUGACAGGAUCGCAUCUAAACCGGUGCAUACUCACAGAGGAGAUCCUACCUACGGGAGACCCCCUGAAGGGUCUCAGACAGAGCAGAGAGGGAAAGAUGCUCACUCACACGUGGGUAAGGAAGUAGAAGAGCUGUGCUUGAUCAUUAGAAGCACUGGAGAGGUGGGAGAAGAUGGACACGUGAGUGUGACCUUCGGGCAGCUGUUUGAAACAUACGUGACUAUUUCCAAUAAAGUAGUGGGAAUCUUGUUAAGGGCCAGAAAACACGGUCUGGUUCAUUUUGAAGGUGAAAUGCUUUGGCAAGGAAAAGAUGAUGAUGUGAUCAUCACUUUACUACAAUAAAGCUUUGUCAUCUAAUGAAUUCUGCUGCCUGGUUCCAUGUGGAUGAGCAUAUCUGAAUACCAUCUUGAAAGAGGUUUUCAUUACAGAAUUUCAACUUGGCUGCUUACUGGGACAGGAGAGAAAAUGGGUGAGAAGGUAAAAAUGGUAGAGAUUUGGACAGAAAUUACAAAUAAGGAACUAAUCCAUCAUGCCGCUAUUGGAUUGUCCAUUCAUUAUUAUCAUACACUACAAAGUAUACUGCAAUUCUUCAGAUAACUCCACUGGCUUACUGCUUUAGGUUACGGAAAGUGUAAAUUACUAACUUGCUGCCAUACAACACUGAUUCUUGCAGGCUGUGAAAUAUUUGCUGUCGUGUGGGAUUUUAUUUGUAAAACAUGGAAUGGAAAACUGUUACGGGAAUUCUUAUACUUAAAAAAAAGAAGAGACUGGUAUAUAACAGAAGUUUGGGUUAUUUUCACGUGUUGAAACUGAAUGGAAGUUACUUUCAUGAAGUAUAUGAAAAUCCCCAAAUUUAAAGAAAUAGUACAGCAAGGAUAUGUGAUGGUUUCUAAAUUAUUUGUAUCUUAUAUGUAUUUUGGAGAGCUGCAUUAGUCCUGGUAUUUAAUAGUCUGUUCUUGUCGUAAUAUCUUCUCCAAACUUUCUGUGUCUGUUGCUCGUUUUCCUCUGUAGCUCAUCAUUUUUACAUGUUCUAUUCUUCUAAUGCUGUGUCAACCCUUAGACGAUCACAAAGCUCUGCAGUCUUCUUGGUGAAUUCAGCUAAUAUCCCGUCAUGGAAAGCAGGGUGCCACAACAUAAACUUGUAAAAGACAACUGAAACUGUAUGUUGGGGCACUAUGCAUUCACAAAAACAACAAAAAAAAGGCUCUUUCACCAAAAGGUAGCAAUUUUGUUUAUAAUAGGAGAGUAGAGAUCCUGUAGUGCCAAAUAUAUAAAUAAAAGUGUAGCAGUGCAGUCCUCACUUAGCUGAGGCAGAGCUUUACUUUCAGGGCACAGUUGUGAGUUCUCCACACUGGGAGGAAAAAAUGAUCAGCUAGUGAGAAUUGUGACUGAGAGAUGACCAAUAACAAUUUCCUUUAUGGUUCUUCCAGGGGAACUUUUUCUAUGUUUAAAAAGAAAAUUAAAAUUGUUGUAAUAAAGCUAUUAAAAAUAAUCAGGAGCUGUAUUCAUGAUAGUUCCUACUAAGAAAACUGUAUAACUAGAAAUAUAUAUAUAUAUUUUUAUCAGUGCAAAUAAAAGCUAUUUUGUGGUGUUAACUACACUACUUGGUGGGUCUUUAACGUAAGAUAAACACUUGCCUCAAAAGGGUAUUGAAAUCUAAAAUAAAUUAUGAACUUGAUAAAAGUAAUAGAUUAUUGUAUGGUUUUUAUAUAAAAGAAGGGUUUGUGGGUUUUUUUUGCAAAAAGCCUAAAAUAAUGGGUUUCUGUUUUGACGUUGUCAUCUGAUGGGGAUUUGCAUCAAAAUAAGCCUUUUGACUCAGCAAAAUAAAAUAUGGAUUUAAUUAUCCCUCUGCCUCUUUUUCAUAGUGAAAAGACAAUAGAAGUAGGAAAAAAGGAGGAAAUGAAUGUGCUGAAAUAAGUACAUCUGCAGGACAGGGGUGCCAGAUCCGUACAGCAUGGAAAGGAAAACAAAGGGUAGGUUUUAAUCACCACAUAAUUUUGCCAGGUAGGAAACUGAGGAAUAUGUGUUGCACCAGGUACUGCUGGUGAGUGUUCCCUUAGCUCUCAAAACCACUCCUUUGUCCUAAACAAAUCUGUGUCUUGCAGCUGAAAACAAGACGUGUGAUUUGUGGUCCCAACACAUUUAAAAUGCUUUGGUUUUUUGAAAAGCAUUUCUUUCCAAAAUGACAUGAGCACACCUCCGUGGAUUUCAGCUACCAUUCGUUAAAUAAAACCUGGACAUUCAAAACAAAUCAGGCUUUUUAUAAUAGAGCUGCAGAAUGUGGUUUGUUUAAUUCUGACGCUUUGCAAACUCAGUCAGGGCUGCUGUAGCACCUGCAGGAAGCAGUGUCAGGUGGUUCAGGUGUUGCCAGCUGACUAACAGGAUGGUAAUAUCUAAAGAAAUAAUAACAUUACUACGCAUUGUACAACUAAUACAUUAAAAUGCACACAGUUGAGAUGCAAGUCCAGCUCAUGCAGACUUAUUAGUUCUUAAUUAAGUCUGGCUCAAGUAGUUAAAUGUCAAGAAUCCAGGCUUGCGCUGCGGUGGAAGGAGUGAGUGUUGGAUGUUUACGUGGCCUCUGCUCACUCUCUCCUGCUGCUGGUUGGGUUCAACAUCACUUGAGCACAUGUACAUGAGCUUUAAGCACAUUUCUAAUCAAAACAGAUAGAAGCAAGUUAAGCUUUAAUGAAAUGGUCUUACCAGUUUUGCAAGCAACUAUAAAAAGCUUGCUCUAUCAUAUUUUGAUUAAAACCAGGGAUUAUUAUCAAAAAUAUUAUUUCUAGACUUAUGGAUGUUUUUUAAAAAAUUAUAGGGCCAAAUUUCCUACCUGCCAGCUUUAGAUGAACAUUCUCUAAAGAGUGACUGAAAUCUCUCUGUGCCCAUGCAAUGGUUACAAAGACCAGAAGGUGCCAAACUGGGUCAGCAUGCAGGUUGACAAAGCCAAUCUCCUGCUCCUGGCAAAAGCCAAUAUUUCUAUGUCUAAAAGAUAGAUAGAUAAUGCGAUUGGUCAGUUUGUCCACUGGUACACUCCAGGAUAAAAAAAAAAUACUUCUGAAGCCUGACUAUAGUCAGGAGUGCAUCAUAUCUAACUGGCAUGACUCAAUUUAGCUACUAGUUCACAAGUUUUCCAAACUUCUGCUUCCUCAUCUGCAGAUGAAACAGGAAUUUAAACAUUUCACCAGGCAACUUUUUUGCAACAGAGCGCCUUUAGAGCAAAUUGAACAAAAUAAAUUAUUUUCACAAAAAAUUGUAGCAUAUGAAGUUUUCUAGCAUUACAGAUAAUUUAGAGUAUCUGACCAUCUAAAAGGCGUGCUUGUCCUACUAAUUAACUUUCAGCUCUUCAAAUCUCUCCUAAACCUCACUUCUUUGUGGCAAGUUCCCUCAGUGGUCUUUCCUCUUCUUCCACUUGAAGCCUGUGAAUUCUCCAUCUGUUUUGGGCCGUACAUUGUAUAAGGAUUGUUUGUAUUUUAUCUUGUCCAACACUGAAAGCACUUCCAGUACUUCAAUAAAUAUUGCACAUCAGUUUGAAA